CCUACGGGGGGCUGCAGUGGGGAAUAUUGGACAAUGGGGGCAACCCUGAUCCAGCCAUGCCGCGUGUGUGAAGAAGGCCCUCGGGUUGUAAAGCACUUUCAGUGAGGAAGAACGCCUGGUGGUUAAUACCCAUCAGGAAAGACAUCACUCACAGAAGAAGCACCGGCUAACUCCGUGCCAGCAGCCGCGGUAAUACGGAGGGUGCGAGCGUUAAUCGGAAUUACUGGGCGUAAAGCGCGCGUAGGUGGCUUGAUAAGCCGGUUGUGAAAGCCCCGGGCUCAACCUGGGAACGGCAUCCGGAACUGUCAAGCUAGAGUGCAGGAGGGGAAGGUAGAAUUCCCGGUGUAGCGGUGAAAUGCGUAGAGAUCGGGAGGAAUACCAGUGGCGAAGGCGGCCUUCUGGACUGACACUGACACUGAGGUGCGAAAGCGUGGGUAGCAAACAGGAUUAGAUACCCGUGUAGUC
rnacentral:rRNA from 1 species